UACGAAGGGAGCUAGCGUUGUUCGGAAUCACUGGGCGUAAAGCGCACGUAGGCGGAUGUGUCAGUCAGGGGUGAAAUCCCGGAGUUCAACUUCGGAACUGCCUUUGAUACAGCACGUCUUGAGUCCGAUAGAGGUGGGUGGAAUUCCUAGUGUAGAGGUGAAAUUCGUAGAUAUUAGGAAGAACACCGGUGGCGAAGGCGGCCCACUGGAUCGGUACUGACGCUGAGGUGCGAAAGCGUGGGGAGCAAACAGG
rnacentral:rRNA from 1 species